rnacentral:rRNA from 1 species
UUUUUGAUUAAUAAUUUAAAGUCUAAUCUGCCCACUGAUAUAAUAUUAAAGGGCUGCAGUAUUUUGACUGUACAAAGGUAGCAUAAUCAUUAGUCUCUUAAUUGGUGACUUGUAUGAAAGAUUUGAUGAAAUAUAUACUGUCUCUAUUUAAUUAGUAAAAUUUAAUUUUUUAGUUAAAAAGCUAAAAUAUAUUUAAAAGACGAGAAGACCCUAUAGAGUUUUAUAUUUAAUUAAAUUAAAAUUUUUUAUAAGAUUUAAAAUUUUGAUGUGUUUAAAUAUUAUGUUGGGGUGACAAAAAAAUUUAAAUAACUUUUUUUAUAGAUUAACAUUUAUUAAUGAAUAUAUGAUCCGUAAUUUACGAUUAUAAGAAAAAAUUACCUUAGGGAUAACAGCGUAAUUUUUUUUUUUAGUUCAAAUAAGAAUUAAAGUUUGCGACCUCGAUGUUGGAUUAAGAUAAAAUUUAAAUGCAAAAGUUUAAAAUUUUUGAUCUGUUCGAUCAUUAAAAUCUUACA